ACAGCGGGCCGCGCAAUGGAUGCUGGGAAGCGGGAGGGAACGUUCAAACCGAACCUUCGCCAAGAGGGCUGCGAGAGAGAGAAAAAGAAGGACGAGCGGGGCGGCCUCGGCGAGAUGAAGGCGGCCGCGAAAACCAAAACUCCAAGGAAGCCUGGGCAGAAAAAUGGAUCCAGCAACAAUUUGAAGGACCCUGUUGGGGUGUACUGCCGGCUGCGCCCACUCAGUGUGCCAGACCAAGAAUGCUGCGUAAAAGUGAUCAAUACCACAACAGUCCAGGUUCACCCACCAGAUGGAUACCGAAUUUUCCGCAAUGGGGAGUAUAAGGAGGUUCAAUAUUCAUUCAAAGAGGUUUUUAAUGUCGGCGGGACUCAGAAACAUGUGUUUGACAUUGUUGCCAAACCUCUAGUGGAUGAUCUGAUUCAUGGGAAAAAUGGCCUCCUUUUUACAUACGGUGUCACUGGGAGUGGGAAAACUUACACCAUGACUGGUUCUCCUGGUGAUGGUGGCCUGCUUCCUCGCUGCUUAGACAUGAUCUUCAACAGCAUAGGAUCUCUGCAGGCCAAACGAUACGUGUUCAAGCUGGAUGAUAAGAAUGGAGUUGAGGUGCAGUGUGAUGUCGAUGCUUUACUUGAACGUCAGAAACGAGAAGUUUUUCAGACUCCAAAAACUCCAUCUAGCAACAGGCGGCAAAUUGACCCUGAAAUAGCUGAUAUGAUCAAUGUCCAAAACAACUGCAAAGUGGAAGAAGUUGAUGAAGACAAUGUUUACAGUGUGUUUGUCUCCUACAUCGAGAUCUAUAACAACUACAUCUACGACCUUUUGGAUGAAGGUCCCUUUGACCCCAUCAAACCAAAGUGGAGCAGCUGUGGCACUCCAGUGCGAAAUGCUGACUUUAUACUUCCUCAGUCCAAAAUUCUCCGCGAGGAUCAGAACCACAACAUGUAUGUUGCAGGAUGUACGGAGGUGGAAGUCAAAUCCACAGAGGAAGCUUUUGAAGUCUUCUGGAGAGGCCAAAAGAAGAGGCGCAUUGCAAACACUCAGCUCAAUCGUGAAUCCAGCCGUUCCCAUAGUGUGUUCCUGAUCAAACUGGCCCAGGCGCCACUUGAUGCCAGUGGGGAUAAUGUUCUACAGGACAGAGAGCUGAUAACCUUCAGCCAGUUAUCUUUGGUUGACUUAGCAGGGAGUGAGAGAACAAACAGAACCAAAGCAGAAGGGAAUAGACUACGGGAAGCAGGUAAUAUUAAUCAGUCCCUAAUGACGCUGAGGACCUGUAUUGAAGCUCUGCGCGAGAACCAAACUUAUGGGACCAACAAGAUGGUCCCUUACCGAGACUCUAAACUAACCCAUCUCUUCAAGAACUACUUUGAUGGAGAAGGCAAAGUGCGCAUGAUAGUCUGUGUGAACCCAAAGGCUGAAGACUAUGAUGAGAGUUUGCAAGUCCUGCGAUUUGCAGAGCUCACCCAAGAAGUAGAGGUUGCGAGGCCUGCUGAGAAGCCAGUCUGCGGCUUAAUCCCUGGUCGACGGUUUAAGAACCAGGCCUUUCGGGAGGAGCUCUCACGGCAGCUGGAAAUCCGAGGUGGACCGAUUGAUGGAGAGCGGGAGCGGUCUAUCACAGAGGUGCUGCUGCAGAAUUUCCCCCCAAUGCCUUCCUGCGAGAUUCUGGACAUCAAUGAUGACCAGACCCUUCCUCGACUGAUCGAAGUGCUUGAGAAACGGCAUCGCAUCCGGCAGAUGCUGUCAGAAGAGUUCGCCAAAAAUGUGCUUUCUGUCAAGGGGAUGCUUCAGGAGCUUGACUCCAGCAUCGUCUCCAAGGAGAACUAUGCACAAGUUAAAAUGGCCGAGAGAGACAAAUUUAUAGCAGUCCAGAAAACUGAGAUCGAGCGCCUAGAAAAGAAAGCAAAAACUCUGGAAUACAAGAUCGACAUCUUGGAGAAAACAACAACAAUUUACGAAGAGGAGAAGCGCAACUUGCAGCAGGAGCUGGAAAGCAAGAGCCAGAAGCUGCAGAGACAAGUUUCCGACAAGCGCCGCCUUGAAGCACGGUUGCAAGGCAUGGUGACGGAGACAACAAUGAAGUGGGAGAAGGAAUGCGAGCGGCGGGUGGCAGCCAAGCAGCUGGAGAUGCAGAACAAGCUCUGGGUGAAAGAUGAAAAACUGAAGCAGCUGAAAGCCAUCGUCACAGAACCCAAGGGCAACAAACCGGAGCGGCCUUCUCGGGAGAAGGAUCGGGAGAAGCCCCUGCAGAGGUCCCUGUCGCCUCCCCCAGUCCCUUUUUCUAGUCCCUGUGUCACUCAGCUCCCUAACACCACCAACUUGCCUGCCGCAAGCCAGCCACACCUGCACAGGCGUUCUAACUCCUGCAGCAGCAUUUCGGUGGCCUCCUGCAUCUCGGAAUGGGAGCAGAGGACGCCUACUCAGAGCAGCAAGCACCCCGGCGGUGGUGGCAGUGGCGUGCCCAAAGGCAGGAGUAGACCUCAGGAGCUCCAGCAAGCUAGGCACUGUGCCAUGUCAGACAGAAGGCGAGGCAUGUGCUGGACCGGCGCCCUCGAGGUCCGCAGCGGUAGAGAGGCUCUAGAGGUAGAAGAGGACCUGUGCUGCAGGAAUGCUCCACCAGUUCGCAUCCGGCACAGGCGCUCUCGUUCGGCCGGGGAGAGAUGGGUGGACCACAAGCCAGCCUCCAAUGUCCAGACCGAGACAGUCAUGCAGCCCCACGUCCCCCACUCCAUCACAGUGGCGGCUGCCAACGAGAAGGCCCUGGCCAAGUGUGACAAGUACAUGCUGACCCACCAGGAGCUGGCUUCCGACGGGGAGAUUGAGACAAAGCUCAUCAAGGGUGAUGUUUACAAGACCAGAGGAGGUGGCCAGGCAGUCCAGUUCACAGAGAUAGAGACCCUGAAGCAAGAGUCUCCAACAGGCCGCAAGCGAAGAUCAUCUCCCUCCAGCCGUUCACCUGCAGAGGAGGGUACCGAGUCCGAGUGGACAGAUGUAGAAACAAGAUGUUCUGUCGCAGUGGAGAUGAAGGCAGGCUCUCACCUGGGGCCUGGAUACCAGCACCACGCUCAGCCCAAAUAGGUGCCGACCAAGCUGUGGAAGUGAUCUCUUCAGCUCAGGGGACGAAAACAUGGCAGUUUUACAAGACAUGUUAACAGGCAGGAAAGAGGGCAUCAGAGGCGCAGAAAACCAUGAACUGUUGGAGAUUCCUCCUAGGACUUCUUUGGCAAAGGGAUUAUUUGCAGGCCUACAUUUGCUAGGCAAGGAAAGAGCCAAAUAUAUAAUAAAAGUAAUUUUUUU